AGUACCUGCAACUUUCAGCUGCAAGACUGAAGGCGGGUUGGAGUCUUUAGACUUCAAGAUAAAAGAUAAACUAGAAUCCUAAAAAGAGUUACAAACACUGAGUAUCAUCCACCCAAUAAAUAUAUUUAAUAUUUAUUAAAUUAACACCCUGCACUUCGGAACCGAACUAAUUCAUCUAAAAACGAAGGAACUCACUUUUUCGACAAGAAUAUCAUAAUCAGUCUUAUAAGCAGUCCAAGCAUUGUAAUCCUUACAUAAACAGAGACACCAAAUAAGCAGUACACCUCAAUAAAAAAACUAAACAUGUAAAUACAAUUAAAUACACAAAAAUUAAAAUUUCAACUAGCAUCCUUUUCAGAAAUUUAUAGGUAAAUACAUCUCGCCAAAUAAUGUUGAAUUCCAUACCAAAGGAUGGUGGCCAGAGAAUCUAGAAAGGAGCCCAGAAGCAGAUAAGGUGAUAAGACUGCUUGGUGUUCAUCUUGGGGAGGACGUGUCCACUGCGAAGGCAUAUUUCUUCGCAUUUGACCACCAACACUUUCUACCCUAUCAAGAGAUCCUUGGCGAAAAUGGAGUCAACGCAGCCAAGUAUGUGGUUCCUGGCAUCUAUGACUACUCUCUACGCACAAAUAGUCAACCUACUGUCACUACCGGUCAAGCCUCCUUCCUGAGAAUAGAUAAACCUCAUAAUUCUUACUCCCAUUUGACAUAAAUCUGUUAUAAAAUAUUAGAGAGCCAUGGAAUUAAAACCAAAAAUUUGACUUGACAUCUGUAUAAUUUUUUGAGACGGUGGGAGGGGAUCAUUAAUUGAGAAGGAUUAUGGAUAUAUAAAUGGGGCCAAGAAAUGGACUGUGCUUGUAUCAACGAUGGUGAAGAUUGAAAUUUGAGGUUUCCUUUUCUCCCUAUAUGCUCAAAGAGAAAGAGUCAGAGAUAGUGAGGAGGAAGAGGGAGGCGGUGCAAAUCCAUGAGAAGAGAUGAAGUUAUGGAUUAGGUUUUGGAAUAAAAUGAAAUGACUGUGAAAUGAAAUUUUAAGCACUAAUGCCUCAUGUACAUAACUAGGUCACAGAAAAUUCACAGAAAUUUGAAUUUUUCAGAAAUCAUGUGCUAUUCACGUGACAAAAGGCAUGGAGCAGCUGAGUUGUUUGACUUUGAAAAUCUUAUAUCCCAAACAAAUGAAAUAAAAUAAUGAAGCAGGCAGAGGUAUAGAAGACAGAAAGCAAAUGUCCCGCCUUCUUUUCCCCGCCGAUUUCACUCGCACUGUGGUCGUGAAU
rnacentral:lncRNA from 1 species